GAUGAACGCUGGCGGCGUGCCUAAUACAUGCAAGUCGAGCGAACGGACGAGAAGCUUGCUUCUCUGAUGUUAGCGGCGGACGGGUGAGUAACACGUGGAUCACCUACCUAUAAGACUGGGAUAACUUCGGGAAACCGUAGCUAAUACCGGAUAAUAUUUUGAACCGCAUGGUUCAAAAGUGAAAGACGGUCUUGCUGUCACUUAUAGAUGGAUCCGCGCUGCAUUAGCUAGUUGGUAAGGUAACGGCUUACCAAGGCAACGAUGCAUAGCCGACCUGAGAGGGUGAUCGGCCACACUGGAACUGAGACGCGGACCAGACUCCUACGGGAGGCAGCAGUAGGGAAUCUGCCGCAAUGGGCGAAAGCCUGACGGAGCAACGCCGCGUGAGUGAUGAAGGUCUUCGGAUCGUAAAACUCUGUUAUUAGGGAAGAACAUAUGUGUAAGUAACUGUGCACAUCUUGACGGUACCUAAUCAGAAAGCCACGGCUAACUACGUG
rnacentral:rRNA from 1 species